rnacentral:rRNA from 1 species
AGAUUGAACGCUGGCGGCAUGCCUAACACAUGCAAGUCGAGCGGCAGCGCGGGGGCGAACCCUACGGCGGCGAGCGGCGGACGGGUGGAGUAAGGCAUCGGAAUCUGCCCUCGAUGUGGGGGAGUAACGUAGGGAAACGUUAACGCUAAUACCGCAUACGACCGAGAGGUGAAAGACGGGGGACCGGAAAGGACCUCGCGCAGCAGGAUGAGCCGAUGUCCGAUUAGCUGGUUGGUGGGGUAACGGGCCCACCCAAGGCGACGAUCGGUAGCUGGUCUGAGAGGAUGAUCAGCCACACUGGGACUGAGACACGGCCCAGACUCCUACGGGAGGGCAGCCUGAGC